UUAGAUUUUAUUUAUUAAUUUUAUUUAUUUUAUGAAAAAGUAUUAAAAAUAUUUAUAUAGAAAAAAGUUUUAGUAUUGUUUAAAGAAAAAAUAAUUUUAAUAAUAGUUUAAUAGUAUUGUAAAAGAAAAUUGAAAUAUUUUGAAAAAUUUUUAUUUUAAAAGAAAAUUUAAUUUAUUGUACCUUGUGUAUCAGCGUUUAUUAAAUAAAAAAUAUUUAAGUAUAUUUUUCUCGAUUUUAAAAGAGUUAGUGUGAUAUGAAAGUUAAUGUAAUAAAAUUAUUUUAAAUAUCGCAUUAGAAAUGAAAUGUUAUUCGUUUUUAAAGGUAUCUAGUUUUUCAAGAAAUAAAUUUAAUUUAGAAAUUAUAAAUUUAUUUAAAAAAUUUUUUAAUUAAAUAAUUUAUAAUUUUAAUAUUUUAUGGGAUAAGCUAUAAAAUAAAUUUUUAUAAAUAAUAAAUAAAUUUAAAAAUUAUAUGCUUAGAAUUAGCAAUUAUUAAAAAAUCUGUUAUAAUUUAUUUUAUUCAUUAAAUUAUUUAUUAUAUUUUAAAUUUUUAUUGAAAUAUUAAUUUUAAUUUUUAAAAUUAAGUAAUAAUGAUAAAAUUAGUAUAUUUUAUUGUAAAAUAAAUUUAAAUGGUAAGUUUAAGUAAAGAAUUCGGCAAAAAUAAUAUCCGCCUGUUUAACAAAAACAUGUCUUUUUGAAUUAAAUUUAAAGUCUAACCUGCCCACUGAAAAUUUUUAAAUGGCCGCAGUAUUUUAACUGUGCAAAGGUAGCAUAAUCAUUAGUCUUUUAAUUGAAGGCUGGAAUGAAUGGUUUGACGAGAUAUUAACUGUUUCAUUUAAAUUUUUUAUAGAAUUUUAUUUUUUAGUCAAAAAGCUAAAAUUUAUUUAAAAGACGAGAAGACCCUAUAAAUCUUUAUAUUUUAUUUAUUUUAAUUAUAAAGAUUAUUUUUAUUAUAAUAAAAUGAAAUAUUUUAUUGGGGUGAUAUUAAAAUUUAAAAAACUUUUAAUGAUUUAAGUCAUUAAUGUAUGAAUAUUUGAUCCGUUAUUAACGAUUAAAAAUUUAAGUUACUUUAGGGAUAACAGCGUAAUUUUUUUGGAGAGUUCAUAUCGAUAAAAAAGAUUGCGACCUCGAUGUUGGAUUAAGAUAUAAUUUUGGGUGUAGCCGUUCAAAUUUUAAGUCUGUUCGACUUUUAAAUUCUUACAUGAUCUGAGUUCAAACCGGCGUAAGCCAGGUUGGUUUCUAUCUUUAAUAAAUUAUAAUAUUUUAGUACGAAAGGACCAAAUAUUAAAAUAAUUUUAUUUUAAAAUAGAAUAAUAUUAAUUAAUAUA
rnacentral:rRNA from 1 species